AAACCAUCUGGUCCUGGGCUUUUCUGUGAUGGGAGAUUUUUGAUUACUGAUUCAAUCUCCUUACUCAUUACUGGUCUGUUUAGAAUUUCUAUUGCUUCAUGAUUCAGUCUUGAUAAAUUGUGUGUUCCUAUUUCUUCUAGGCUGUCCAAUUUGUUGGCAUGUAAUUGUUCAUAGUAGUCUAUUAUGAUCUUAUGUAUAUUUGUGGCAUCAAUUAUAAUGUCUCCUCUUUCAUUUCUGAUUUCAUUUGAGUAUUCUCUUUUUUUUCUUUGUUAGUCUAGCUAAAGGUUUGUCAAUUUUGUUGGAUCUUCAAAAAACCCAGUUCUUGGUUUUGUUGAUCUUUUCUAUUGGUUUUCUGGUCUCUAUUUCACUUAUUUCUUAUCUGAUUUUUGUUAUUUCCUUUGUUCUGAUAGCCUCGGGCUUAGUUUGCCUUUCUUUUUCUAGUUCCUCGAGGUGUAAGUUAUGUUGUUUAUUUGAGAUCUUUCUUUUUUCUUAGUAUAUGAAUUUAUUGCUACAAACUUCCUUCUAAGAACUGCUUUUAGAGCAUCCCAUAGGUUUUGGUAUGUUGUGUUUCCAUUUUUAUUAGUUUUGAGAUGUUUUUUAUUUCUUCCUUGAACUUUUGGUUGUUCAGGAAUGUGUUGUUUAGUUUCCAUAUGUUUGUAAAUUUACUUGUUUUUCUUGACUUUGACAGCCCUGUGGAGUACUAACUUGGUAUCCUGCAGAAUGUCCCAAUAUGAGUUUACUUGAUGUUUUCCUCAUAACUAGACUGGAAUUAUGUGUUUUCUUUGGAAAGAAUACCAGAUUAGUAAAGUGCUCCUUUUAUUACAUCAUAUCAGGGGGUAAAUGACAUCCACAUGACAGUACUGAUAAUGUUAACCUUCAUCACUUGGUUAAGUUAGUGUUUGCUAGGUUUCUCCAUGUAAAGAUAUUAUUUAUUAGAAUGUAAGACCUGUGGGAGUAUAGAUGCUUUAUGGGGUUUUUUUUUUUUACUGCUAUAUCAGCAGUGUCUAGAAUAGUGCAUGGCCCAUAGGCACUCAAUAAGUAUUUGUUGAAUGAAUAAAUGAAUAAAUGGAAGGAUGAAGUAGAUGAUCCUCGCCUUCCCACUCUACUCAACUCUUUCUAAAAAUUUGUUCUGACCAUACUUGUGAUUACUAACAUCAAUUUUAUUAGGGCAUAUAGUCUAUAUGCAUGAAAUGCAGUACAGUGCCUGCCACCAAUUACUUAAUAUGUAUGGGCCUUAGGAUACAUUGGUUGACAGGUGGCUUAUUUACUGAGACUAUAUUUAAUUUUGGCUUGAAAGGCCAGGGCAAGAUGAUAUAGACCAACUUUAUCCAUGUUGGGAUUUAGCAUACAGCAUUUGAAUGAGGUUAGGUUUUCGUAAGGCCUACAUUUUCAGAUUUCCUUUCUACUACUUCUUAGCAUUUUGUUUCUGGGCAAGUGAUCUAGCAUCUUAGAAUGUUCUCAUCUCUGAUAUGGGAGUAAUUGUUUUUUUCUUGUAGGUUGAUACUAGGAUUUAGUGAAAUCACAUAGCAAGCUCCUACUCAGUGCCUGGCAUUUUACUCAAUACAUACUGGUUUACUUCACUUUCCACAACCUUCUGAAGUAUGUAGUCGAAUUAUUUUUUUCUAUUCUAGGAGAGUGAUUUUCUACAAAAAGCAUCUUUUAUCUGGAAGGUCAGUAAAGACAAUUCCAUUUCAUUAAAGAGCUGGCGACAUUAUAAUUUGCUUAGAAACAGGCUCUGGCUUCCAUUAUAAAACUGAUCUGGCAUAUGUGCAAAGAACCAGAUUACUUUUCUACUGGAAAGGAAGCUGAUGGAAUAGAAAUACUUUACAAAUGUGCACAGAACAGUUUACCCUCAUGCAGUGUCUGCGCCUGAUGAAAUAUCAUAUGGCGCCCUGCAGUAGAUGUGGCUCAACAUAAAAUUUGUCACUUCCCAAGUACUUGAAAUAUUUCCCCACUUCUUAUACCUCUGCACUGCACAUGCUUAUUUGGUAAUGUUUGUCUGCCUUCUUAUUUCAGGAGCUGAAGUGACAUAGUCCUGUCUUAUAAUUUGCCAAGUGAUUGAAGGUGCCACACAGGUCCAUAUUACCCCAGUAAUGUCACCGAUUCCUUGUUCUUAAAGAAGAAAAGAGGAUAGUGAGCACUUAGCUUGAGGGUGAUGUGUUCUGUGGGAAUGUAUAUUCUCUGCAAGUUGUUUAUGAUUUUUUUCUUCCGUACAGCCAGAGGAGUGGAAGGACAUAUUUCAAAUUCCCAUUGGCAAGGGCUCCUGCUUCUUUUAAAAGGAUUUGUAAAAUUCCAUCCCUUUGAAUCUUGUCAGUGAUCUCUGGAUAUCCUCCAGGCUUUCUUUCAUAAAGCUUUCAGCACACAGAGCGGAGUGGGCUGGGCAGGGGAAUGUGUAUGUGAGAGUGUGUGCUUGCAUAUGUGUGUGUGUGUGUGCUUCUGUGCCUAUCUGAAGCUGCCUUGAUUAAAAUGCCAGUAUUCUGUCACUUUCUAGUCUGAAUUUACUAUGGCAAUAAAAUGGAAGCAUCCCCCUGCACAGUGAGGUAUAGCUGUUGAGUCUCGCCAUUUUGUGUUGUAUCUAAAAAGUCAUCUUAGCCAAGUCAGCUUAAUGUAGAUCAGUAGCCACAUCUUCCCUUUGGUUCCUUUCUUGUUUCUCUUCUGUAGAACUUCUCAUCAGCUGAUGAAUUCAAGGGAAAAUCAUUUCCCUGGAGCUGUGACAGUUCUCCAUGUGUGGAGAGACAGGGAUCACAUUCAAUCUUCAGGGAUGACAGGUAUGAGUGGAGUUUGCCAGGAGUUUUAUGGUUUCAAAGUGCCUAUAUUUUCUGUUUUCAACUUCUUUUGGAAAGCACAAAUCACCAAAUAUUGGCGAGGCAAAGUUUCACUUCUUCCCAAAUCAUCAGAUAAUGGAUAAUGGAAGUUGUCCAGCCCCACAAGUCAGUUUGUGGGCUGCAGGUUCAAAAAAGCACUUCCUAAGUGCACUCAGAAUUUUGCAGGGCCUGAAGCUUUUGAGGUUUGAGAGUAAGUGACAGAAAAGCAGAAUUAAUCAAUAGUCGUCUUACUAGGAAAAAAGACGUCAGCUAUUUCUUUUAUUCUUUGUGGGUUGCUUCAGAUUCAAAAGUUGCUAUGGUCCUGUAAAACCAGGAUUCUGGGCAAAAAGUAAAUUGGAUGGUAAGCACAGCCAAACUGGUUUGUUUUCCCCAUGAGCCCUGUGAUGGUUCAUUUUAUGUGUCAACUUGAUUGAGCUUAAGAGGUGCCUGGAUACUUGGUAAAACAUUAUUUCUGGAUGUGUCUGUGAGGGUGUCUCAGCAAGAGAUUAGCAUUUGAAUCAGUAGACUGUAAAGAAGAUGGCCCUUCCCAACGUUGGUGGGCAUCAGCCAAUCUGUUGAGGGCCUGAAUAGGACCAAAGGGUGGAGGAAUUGUGAAUUCACUCUCUCUGCUGGAGCUGAGACAUCCAUCUUCUCCUGUGCCUUGGACAUUCGCGCUCCGGUUCUUGGUCUUUCUGACUCAGACCAAGACUUAUACCAUGGCUCCCAGAUUCUCAGGCCUUCGGAGUGGGACUGAAUCACACCACUCACUUUCCUAGUUCUCCAGCUUGCAGACAGCAGAUUGUGGGACUUCUCGGCCUGCACAGUCAUGUGAGCCAAUUCCUAUAAUAAACCUCCUCUUAUAUAUCUCUAUAUAUCCUAUUGAUUCUGUUUCUCUGGAGAAUCCUGACUAAUACAAGCCCCAUGCAUGGAAAGAAACAGAACUUCCACUCCACUUAGCAGAUUUUGCACAUAUUUAUUCAGGGAUUAAUUACUCUCUUGAGGCUGAUAGGUUUCACAUAUCACUAUAUUGAGAUUGAUUAACUCAUUCAUAUAUUCACUCUGUGAAUACUAAGUGCCAAACACCAUGCCAGGUUGUGAAUACAAAGAUAAUUCAACCCCGAAUCACAACGUACCUCACUGACUUGACUGCAAACUCCUUGCCAGCAAAGAGCUUAGCAGGGAAAAUAAAUUAUGAACAUCAGAAAACCAUAAUACAAGACAGAAAGUGAAAUGCCAUUAAAGCAGACAGAUAAAGAGAGGUAGAGAGAAAUUGUCCUGAGUAGGGAAAGGUGAUAUUUGCUGGAGGGAUGAGGCAAGACUAAGAAGGUAUUUGACCUGGGCUUCAAAUUUAUAGGAAAAGGAAGCAACCACAUUCCAAGUGAUCAAAGGCACAGAUGUGGAAAAGCACAGGACAUAGAAUGCAGACAUUUCUUGUGGUAGUGGGUGGGGGAGAUGAGAGAAGGAGAAAGGGACAAUUCCAUAACCUAGGACCUGUUUCAGAUUUAGGAUUUAUGGGGUUCUUGGAGCAAAACAGCUACUUGCAAGCUGGGUUCAGCACACUGUUCUUCCAUUGUAUGAAAGUGACAGCCAUUCUGUAUGGCCUCUGUGGAUCCAAGGAAUACAAUAAAGGGAGGUGGCACUUCGGGGCAAGGGGUAGAGGCAGGGAGUCUGGGGAUGUGUGAUGUUUUCUGACACCAAUUCCGACAAGAAGUAUGUGGUCAUUUUUCUAUACCAAUUCUCCGUCUCCAGCUGGGUGUCUAAUUCAAUUCAACUUGGACAUUAUAUACCUGGUGUUAGUGUCAGCUCCUGUAAAUUAAAGGAUUCGGUCCCACAGACUGCUCCCAUCACAGAUGCCAGCUGCAAGUGGGGUCCUCAGGUGACCCACUCUUCAGCCUGGCUGACUACAUAUUUGAGGAUUCCCAUGACUCCCCAACCCAAGUUUAAUUAUUCACUAGAAUGACUCACAGAACUCAGGAAACUGCUCUAGUUACUAUCACAGUUUUUUAAAUACAGGCUGCAACUCAGGAACAGCUAAAUGGAAGAGUGCAUAGGGCAAGGUAUGGGGCGGGAGUUGUGGAGCUUCCACGUCUUCUCCAACUGGGCUUCUUCAAGUGGGUGUUCAGCAACUCAGAAACUCCCCGUACUCCGCAAUUUAGGGGUUUUCUGGAAGUUUCAUUACAUAGACAUAAUUGAUUAAAUCAUUGGCCACGGGUGAUUGAACUCAAUCUUCAGUCCUUGUCUCUUCCCUGGAGGUUGGGAGAUGGGGCUGAAAGUUCUAGCCCUCUAAUCAUGUGGUUGGUUUUUCUGGUGACCAGCCCACACCAUGGGUCACCUUGUGAGCAUAUGAAAGAUAGUAACUUCCAAGGAUUUUGGGAGCUCUGUGCCAGGAACCAGGGACAAAGACCAAAUAUUUCUUUUUUAUUAUACCACUGGGACGGAAACCAUUUACUUCACAAUCUUGCUGAGGAGGAGGAUGGCUCCUAGAACAGGCUUGGGUGAUGGAGUUCUGAGGUAACAACAAAUAACACAACUUGGAUCAAGGAUGAGUGUACUGGUGACUGUUCUGGAACAGGAUGAGGGCCUGGGCCACGGUUGGAUGAGGUGAUGCAAGGCUGAUGAGACCUUUCUGAAGACUGUUUUGCAAUGUGUGGUACUGUUGGCUCUGUCUAGAAGUUUCUGGGCUCUAACUUAGGGCAAGUUAGAAGAGAAAAUGACUUUACCUUACUUUUCUGUUACGUAAGAUCUGUUCUUUUUAGCAUAAUUUCCACUGGAGUAAAGCUCUCAGAGAGAAGGGAAACUAGGCCCAAGUUAGUGUCAGUUCUGGAAUAACCAUCUAGAAUAAUUACUUUCUCUGCCUGGCUGAGGAUGACCCAUCUUGUUAACAAUCAAAGAGUAAAUAUAUGUGUAGAAAGAUUUGAAGAACACACUGACAAGCUGGCUUGAAUCAUUUUUAAAUGUUCACACUUUUCUCUGUGCUGCUAGCAGAGGAAUCUUUGCAGGCAAGAGCUUGGCUGAAUGGUCUUAACAGUGACAUAAAGAGGCCGACUCAGGACUCCACAAGAACUGAGGGUUAACUCUCUUCUUUCUUCUUGUAGACAACUAAGAGGUCAGUCUGUGUGACAUCUUUGAACAUUCUGAGGACUCAACCUUAGAAUCUAUCUUAGUCUGUUCAGGCUGCUCUAACAAAAUAGCACAGACUGGGUGGCUUAUAAACAACAGAAAUUUAUUUCUCACAGUUCUGGAGGCUGGAAGUGUGCAAUCAGGGUGCCUGUCUAGUCGAGUUCUGGUGAAGGCUCUCUUCUGGGCUGAAGACUGGUGACUUCUCACUGUGCCCUCACUUGGUGGAAGGGGGGUGUGCGAGCUCUCUGGGGCCUCCUUUAUAAAGUCUAGGAAUUGAAAGCAGGUUAAUGGAGGUGGAAUUUGAUGGGCCAUGAAGAGAGUGUCAGGAGGUGAACUUGCAGAGGUAGGCAGGCCCAGAUCUGGCAUAACUGUGGUGCCCCAGUAGGAAAUUUGGAUUUUCUUUGAAUGCAUAGGAAGUCCCUGAAGUUUUCUAAGCAGAGGAAUGACCUGAUUUCAUUCAUAUUUUACAGAAUUUGCUCUGACUGCAAUCUGGAGAAUGGCUUGGAGGGAGGUCAAGAGUAAAAAGAAUGACAUACGCUGCUCUGGGUUAGAAGCCUCUCCUCUAUGUCAUGAAGCACCUGGUGCUGAUUUGAGCAUAGUGCUUAUUAACCAUAGUCACAAUUUUGUGUUUACUUCUUGCCUCCAUCAGUUGGAGAGCUCCUUCAGGGUGGGGAUUGUGUCUUUUGUCUCCAUACCAUAUAGUAAGUGUUCAAUAGGUGUAUUUUUUAAGGAAUGAAAAAGAAAACAAUGAAAUGAGUGUCAGAUCCAACUUUUUCUCUCUACAUCUCUAGUUCUCUCAUCUGGAAAAAGAAUUCUCAACUAAGGAACUGUCCAGCUAUAAAAACCAUGUUUGGGGGAGAGGAAAGGACAUUUUUGAUGAGGCGUCACAGUAAGAGGUCUGAAGGAGAGUGGGAUGGUCAGGGUGUGUAUGUGCUGGAGGUGGGUGUAGAUGGGACAGAAAGGGAGACUACUUGAUUGGAGUAGGUGGUUCACCAGUGAUUUUUAAUUACUGGAGUUUUUCUGGAUUGUGAAAAAUGUUUCAAGUGUAGGGAGAAAACAGCCAAAUCUCCGCGCAUUCAUCAGGGUGAAAACAAGGCUAAUGUCCUUUUGGGCAGCCAACUCCCACAGCCCACUGAGACUCCUCUAUCUAGAGCAAGGAGCUGGUAAGCUCUUAACUCUCAAAAAUUUGUACAAUGAGAGUUUAUACACCAGGCACCUGUCUCCGCACCAUAGCACAGUAGGAUAAAAAGUAUAAUAAAUGGUGUGAAUGAAAUUAAAGAUACAUAUGAUAAGAUAAAUUUGGGGGUGUUUCAUAAAAUCACUUUGGGGGAGGGAGAACUCAUUAGGUUGUGAAAAUGAAUCACAAUGAGAACAGGGUCCCAUUGGCAGAGCAUCACUCACCACAGAGUAAUUCUGCCAUUGUCGUGGGGCUCUGUGUGGAGGGUGGAUUGAUGGUGAUCCUUUUUUUAUUGAGAUUUUGGGCUCACAUCUCAUUUAUGUUUAUGCCAGCCAGAUGGCAGAGCCUUUAUUUGUCAUUGCAUCUCUUAGCCGUUUCUUGAUCUCUGAGGCUUGAGUGAAUGGUACAGUAAGUAUGCCCGGGAAAUGCAUCAGUAAACACUAAGAGAAAAAGACAAUGCCGAGGGCAGGAGUUUAUUCCACAGGAUAACAGGGAUGAAGUUCAGAAAAGGAAAGAUGGAUGUUUAAUGCCUGGAAAAAUACUGUGGCCUUUCGACUUUAAGAAGAACUUCCCAAGGGAAGCUGUGAAAAUCCCACUACAUGAGGCAUUUGAGGAUAGAUUGGAUGAUGCACUGGAGAUUAUCUUGCAGGGAGUCAAAUGUCCUCUGGUCCAGGGAGUGGACUAAAGUAGCCACAAAACCCACAAAAUGGUCUUUUGUGAUUAUGGUUCUGGGAGUCCAAUCAGGUCUUGCUUUAUUGAAUCCUUCGUUACAAUCAAUAUGAAUUUCCCCAGGCGGAACUGAAGUACCGCACCUUAGAAUUCGAGCCUUGGUGUGCGCACGUGCCUGUGGUCCAGCCAGCUAAGAGGCUGUUCGGUGAGGCAUCUGUCUGACACAUUGCACUGGUGUGAUCCCUUCCUUUGCCCUUCCCUCACUUCCUCUUCCCUACUCUCUUCCUUUCCUCCCCUCCCGUCUCGCAUUCUUUUCUCCUCUACAGACAGAACAGAUAUGGGGGGUAUAAAGGCCUGGAGAAGGAGUCAUCCUAUGUGCCUGUCGGAUGCCUGCUCUCUGCUGCUCACUGUGCUGCGGUUUGGUGUUUGGAGGAGAAUAUGGAUUUAAGUGCAGCAGAGUCAAAGAGAGACUUGGGAACUGCUGAGGCCUGCCGGCCAUUCCACAGUGAACAGGCCCUGCAAAGUCUGCAGAGUUGCCAUUAAAAUCUCCUUCUUGUUCGUGCCCCAGCCUGCCUAGAGAUCUGCUGGGGCCUCUGGGUCUUCUCUGUUUUAUAGCUAUUGUUAAAGAUUUGACGUUGGGAGGGGAAAGGAAGGUUUUAGUUCCCUAAGGACAGACCAAAUCUGUCAUUCAAGUUCAGCUGUAAGAGACUCCGGGGUGAAAAUGUUGAAGACCAGCUCCUCAUUCUUCUUUCUUUUCCUAAUUAAUUGCAACUGAUCUAAAAAUACUUAUAGCUGGGAAAGUCUCUGAUGCUGGAGCUGGAACAAGUUGCUGAUUUGGUCACAGAACUGGAUCUAAGGCAAGCACAGGGACCCAGGCAAGUCAAGAGGCUGAGGACUCGUAAGUCAGUUCUUGGGGACUGCUCCCCUCAUUAGUUCAGUUUAUUGCACACUUUCUCCAUUGAUUGAGAUGUGUGCAAUUUUCCCACACAGUAGACUCUGGCCCUUUAUGGCUGUAACAUUUACAGUUUAAGCUACUUGAGCGUGAUCUGAAAGUCCAUUCUAUAAGAUAAAAUGCGAAAAUUGCUGAGGCAUGAAUUUGAAUCACUGGAACUGCAAGGGAGUUGUGGGCGAGUCAAUUACCUCGUGUCUGGACCAGCUUCUUGCCCAGUCUCCACCUCUUAGGGCAGCCCUUUCCAGUCUUUCUUCAUUGUUCUGUGUGAGAAGGUUUGGGGACAUAGCCGUGGUGAAUGCUGUGAUUCUGUCAACGAGUAAGAGGCAGAAACUACAAAAGAAGCAAAAAGGUUUAUUUGGGGUCCCAAGAAUUGCAAUUCAGGAGACAUAGUUUCAAGUAGAAACUCAAAUGUGCUCCAAGGAAGACAAAGGAAAGAGGGGUUUAUAAAGGCAAAAAGAGAGAAAUUACAUAGGCUGUUUUGCAAGAGUUGUGAUUGGUGCCGGCAACAACUGUUACUUCUUGGCUACACGUGAUUGGUUGCUGAGGCCAUCUCUGAGGCAGAAAGUUCUUAUCUACGAGAGUCAGCAUAUUUCUUGGAAGAAGGUCAGGAUGACAGCAGUGAUGCACAGUUCAAAAGUUUACGUUCCAUCUGGGUAGAGACGUGCAUAAACCUCACUUCCCUGACGGCCUCCCAGCUCCAUUUUAGAAGGCUUGACAUAUGUUACUCCAUUUUUUAAAUCAUUGUGUACAAUUCUUAAAUGCCUGUGACUACAAACCAAAGCCCAGCCCAGCCCAGCUUUCCUAAACACGCACAAUCAUAAAGAAGACCCAAGGAGCAGUCAACAGAACAAAUUUGAAGCUGCUCAGCAUUAUUUAUUCAUCUUUUAUUGUGGGCUAGGCCUUGUGCUAUGUGUCAUAAGAAAUGCAAAGAUGAAUAUGACCCAGUUUUUGCCCUCAAAGAAAAUACAACCAAUAAGAGUCAAAAACAAUACAAAUGACCAUAAUAUAGGGCCGUGCCAGAUAACCACUCUGGGGUGUUUUCCAUACCAACAACCAAUUCUCUGAUUCUCCAGACACCAGUGUGGUAUUCAACAAUUCAAUUCAAUUCUGAUGCUACCUGGCAUUAGUGCAGACCCCACAGGUUAAGGGCUCAAGUCCCACAAGACUGACCCCCACAUCAGACACCAGUCGCAAGUCCUGGGCCUCCAAUAUUUUUGACCCACCAGCUAUAAAUUGGGGGUUCCCAUGACCCCCUCCUCACAUUUGACAAUGUAACCAUGGGCCUGCUAGCACUAGUUCAAACUAACCCCAUCUCUUAUCAACAGAGUGAUUAGGAGUUGUUUUCCAGAAAAUUUGCAAAGUCGCAUAGCCAGAGCAUGUGCAGAAGAGGAAAUCUUGACCUGAAAUGACACUGAAACCAAAGAUUCUCCUCUACACAGAACCAAAGGACUGGGACAUGACCAGAACUCGAAAGUCAGACCCUCAUCAGAGGCCAGGGGUCCAAUGUCUAGGAGGAUCCAAUGUUAAAACCCCUUCCACACUUUACCAUAAAUGUUUAAAACCUUACCAUAGAUAUUGAAAACUCUACCAUAAAUUCUUAAAGCCCUCCAAUCAAAACAUGCCCUGCCAGCCCUUUCUGGGUACCAGCUUGUUGUCCCUAACCUCUUAAAUUUUGCCCCAAAUCCUGAAUCGGGGAGACAGAUCUGAGAGCUUCGGCCUCUUGUCUGCUUGCAGGUCAACCUCUCAAUAAAAGCCUUUUCUUUUCGCAAGAGCUGAUGCCGUAAUAAUUUUUUUUUUAAUGCACAUCAGGCAGAGAACCCCACUUGUGUGGUAACGGCAAUUUGCUAGACUAGCUCACAGAACUCAGGAGCACAUUCUGCUUACAUUUUUUGGUUUAUUAUAAAGAUACAAGUGAAGAUCAAGAUGAAGAGGUACAUAGGAUGAGGUCUGGAGGGGUCUGGAGCACAGGAGCUUCUGUCCCACGGGGUUGGGGUGCACCUCCCCAGUACAUGGAUGUGUUCACCAACUCAGAAGCUGUCUGAACCCUGCAGUUUAGGGGUUUUUAUGGAGGUUUCGUUAUGUAGUCAGGAUUGAUUAAAUCAUUGGCCAUUGGUGAUCAAACUCAAUCUCUAGCCCCUCUUCCCUUCCAGGAGGUUGGAGGAUGGGGCUCAAAGUUCCAAGCUUCUAAUCAAGGCUUGCUCUUUCUAGAGACCAGCCCCAGUCUUGAAGCUAUCUAGGGGCCCUCAGCCGCCAGUCAUCUCGGGAGCGUACAAAAGACAUUCUUAUCACUCUGGACGUUCCAAGGGUUUUAGGAGCUGUGUACCAGGAACUGGGGACAAAGACCAAAUAUUUAUUUUUUAUUAUAUCAUAACCCCCGUAAGGAAAUUACAAGGAAAGUGUUAUAUGACUUCAGAGAGAAGACAGAUCAAAUCCAUUUUUUAAGACCUCACAUUGCAAUGUCAUGUAAUGGGAAAGAAUUUGGAUUCUGGAGUCUGCCAGCUCUGGCUUUGACUUCUGGGCAAAUCUCAUGGCCACUCUUCUGCUGCUUCAUUGGUAUCCUCAAUCACAAAAUGGAACAAUGUCGAUUCCCCUGGAAGCAGUAAACCACAAUAAGAUGAGGAGAUUACUGCCUGAAACUUGCAAUCCCAUUAUCUGUCAGCCUAUGAAAGAUAAAAAGUGCCACUCGUGUAUCCAGAAAGUCAUUUUUCAGUAGACACAGAUGGUGUGGCUUCCUGACUUCCCCACUUCAUGGAGACUUGCCUUCAGUCUUCACAUGGGACAGUGGCCUGGUUGAAUCCUACAGACAGGAAGAUGGAGGAUGCCUCAACAGUAUUGGAGGAUAAUUGGUAGGGGCUUUAAGGAAGAUAAUGUCCAAUCCCUGACAGUGGCUAGGGGAGAAGGUGAAAGGUUUGGAAAGGUUUUCUGUCAAUAAAACAGAGUUUCCAGCACACUCUCUUAGGUCCAAAAUGAACCCCUUCACCACCAAUAACCUCUGUUGUGUCUGCCCUAAGAAAGGGCAUGUGGAAGAGAGAAGAUGAACACCCAUCGGAUGGGUGAUGCCACAGCUGAUGCUGUGGAGCAUCAUGUGGCGAGUAGCCAUUCACAUUUAUUGCACGCAUUAUAUUCAUUAUCUGGUUUAAUCCUAAGGACAAAGUUUGACGUGGGUACUGUUCUUAUUUCCAUUUCAUAGACAAGGAAAUAGAGGCCAGAGUAUGAAAUAAUUUGCCCAACAUCAUGGAGCUAGUUAGUGGUGAAGCCAGGAUUUGAACCCAGGUCUAUCCAACAACCUAUUUGAGACCUGUUUGUGGCCAGGGGCCUUCACGCUAUGGAAGGUGAGGAAGAUCUAUCCUGCAAGAGAAAAUCUGGGGCCUCAAGGGCCUCGCUGGGGCUCAGGAGUGAGCUCUUGGAUGGGCUCCUUGAGCUGUUUUUAAAAAGCCUUGAAGCACUUUCAGUGACCAAUUCCUCAUUCCAAGUCAGCAGUUGUGGAGCACAGCACACUUCAGCUGCUCUUAAAAGCUAAGUGAGAAGUGGGUGUGAGGUAUUGACAUUCAAAAAAAGAGAAAGACUGUAUUACGGUUCUUUUCACCCAAGCACUUCCAAACCUUUUGAAAGCACCUCGUGGGGAAUCCUGUGAUCACACUUUGCGGAGUAACAAGUGACCCUGCUCAUCCAGAGAAGCAGUGGCAGAUCUAGCUUGAUUCAGAGCAAUGGAACCAGGCUGGGGCGCCCUCUCACAGCUCGGACCCAAACCAGUCCUCCAUCAAUCGCCAUCGAAUUUGGGCCAUCAUGUCCUAGGCGAUUUGGAAUCUAUGUUGUCAGCACCUUUCAUUUUAAUUAAUUGGUUUCUAUGUUGUUUUUUUAAGGAGUUUUUGUUUUUUUAAUGGAGAUUUACAGAUGCUCCAAAGAAUACUCAAGAUAUGGCUGGAUACAGACAGAGAAAGACAAACUCUAUAUGACUCCACUCAUAGGUGGUAGUUAACAUAUAGACAA